UACGAAGGGGGGCUAGCGUUGCUCGGAAUCACUGGGCGUAAAGCGCACGUAGGCGGCUUUCUAAGUCAGGGGUGAAAUCCUGGAGCUCAACUCCAGAACUGCCUUUGAUACUGGAGAGCUCGAGUCCGGGAGAGGUGAGUGGAACUCCGAGUGUAGAGGUGAAAUUCGUAGAUAUUCGGAAGAACACCAGUGGCGAAGGCGGCUCACUGGCCCGGUACUGACGCUGAGGUGCGAAAGCGUGGGGAGCAAACAGG
rnacentral:rRNA from 1 species